UCACAGCUUAACGAUAGCAGUGGAAAUCCUUUUUGUGUGCCCUUCGCCUCCGCUUAGGCCCCAAACAAAAAGAUCGUAACGAAAUAGCGUGACGCCAG
rnacentral:sRNA from 1 species